rnacentral:rRNA from 1 species
AACGAACGCUGGCGGCAGGCCUAACACAUGCAAGUCGAGCGAGGACUUCGGUUCUAGCGGCGGACGGGUGAGUAACGCGUGGGAAUGUGCCCUUCUCUACGGAAUAGCCCUGGGAAACUGGGAGUAAUACCGUAUACGCCCUAUUGGGGAAAGAUUUAUCGGAGAAGGAUCAGCCCGCGUUGGAUUAGGUAGUUGGUGGGGUAAUGGCCUACCAAGCCGACGAUCCAUAGCUGGUUUGAGAGGAUGAUCAGCCACACUGGGACUGAGACACGGCCCAGACUCCUACGGGAGGCAGCAGUAGGGAAUCUUAGACAAUGGGGGCAACCCUGAUCUAGCCAUGCCGCGUGAGUGAUGAAGGCCUUAGGGUUGUAAAGCUCUUUCAGCUGGGAAGAUAAUGACGGUACCAGCAGGAGAAGCCCCGGCUAACUCCGUG